rnacentral:rRNA from 1 species
UACGGAGGAGGCAAGCGUUAUCCGGAAUUAUUGGGCGUAAAGCGUCCGUAGAUGGUUUUGUCAGUCUGCUGUCAAAGCACAGGGCUUAACCCUGUAAAGGCAGUGGAAACUACAAGACUAGAGUGCAGUAGGGGCAGAGGGAAUUCCCAGUGUAGCGGUGAAAUGCGUAGAGAUUGGGAGGAACACCAGUGGCGAAGGCGACUACCUGGCCUGUUCUUGACGCUGAGGCGCGAAAGCUAGGGGAGCAAACAGG